rnacentral:rRNA from 1 species
UGCAGUCGACGAGAAGGUCCUUCGGGAGCAAUUAAAGUGGCGCACGGGUGAGUAACGCGUAGACAAUCUGCCCUUCAGUCUGGGACAACUUUUCGAAAGGAGAGCUAAUACCGGAUAACAAUGCAUGACACAAGUUGUAUAUUUGAAAGCUUUAUGUGCUGAAGGAGGGGUCUGCGUCCCAUUAGCUAGUUGGUAAGGUAAAGGCUUACCAAGGCAACGAUGGGUAGCGGGUUUGAGAGGACGAUCCGCCACACUGGAACUGAGACACGGUCCAGACUCCUACGGGAGGCAGCAGUGGGGAAUAUUGCACAAUGGAGGCAACUCUGAUGCAGCAAUGUCGCGUGAGUGAAGAAGGCCCUUGGGUCGUAAAGCUCUUUUAUGGGGGAAGAUGAUGACGGUACCCCAAGAAUAAGCACCGGCUAACUAUGUGCCAGCAGCCGCGGUAAUACAUAGGGUGCGAGCGUUGUUCGGAAUUACUGGGCGUAAAGGGCGCGCAGGCGGAAUAGUAAGUCGGAGGUGAAAGCCCGGGGCUCAACCCCGGAGGGUCUUUCGAAACUACUAAUCUAGAGAGGGUCAGGGGCCGGCAGAAUUCCUGGUGUAGAGGUGAAAUUCGUAGAUAUCAGGAGGAAUACCGGUGGCGAAGGCGGCCGGCUGGGGCCACUCUGACGCUGAGGCGCGAAAGCGUGGGGAGCAAACAGGAUUAGAUACCCUGGUAGUCCACGCCGUAAACGAUGAGCACUGGACGUCCGGAGGGUUCGACCCUUCUGGGUGUCUCAGCUAACGCAUUAAGUGCUCC